GCCGAAGUGGCGGAACGGUAGACGCGCUACGUUCAGGGCGUAGUGCUCGCAAGGGCGUGGGAGUUCAAAUCUCCCCUUCGGCACCA
rnacentral:tRNA from 1 species